CGGUCAGAGANAACGCUGNGGGCGCGCGCAUCACACGCAAGUGGAACACCAGCGCACAAGAGCUUGGUCUUUGGGUGGCGAGUGGCGGACGGGUGAGUAAUGUCUGGGGAUCUGCCCGGUAGAGGGGGAUAACCACUGGAAACGGUGGCUAAUACCGCAUAACGUCGCAAGACCAAAGAGGGGGACCUUCGGGCCUCUCACUAUCGGAUGAACCCAGAUGGGAUUAGCUAGUAGGUGGGGUAACGGCUCACCUAGGCGACGAUCCCUAGCUGGUCUGAGAGGAUGACCAGCCACACUGGAACUGAGACACGGUCCAGACUCCUACGGGAGGCAGCAGUGGGGAAUAUUGCACAAUGGGCGCAAGCCUGAUGCAGCCAUGCCGCGUGUAUGAAGAAGGCCUUCGGGUUGUAAAGUACUUUCAGCGGGGAGGAAGGGAUGAAGCUUAAUACGCUUCGUCAUUGACGUUACCCGCAGAAGAAGCACCGGCUAACUCCGUGCCAGCAGCCGCGGUAAUACGGAGGGUGCAAGCGUUAAUCGGAAUUACUGGGCGUAAAGCGCACGCAGGCGGUCUGUCAAGUCGGAUGUGAAAUCCCCGGGCUUAACCUGGGAACUGCAUUCGAAACUGGCAGGCUAGAGUCUUGUAGAGGGGGGUAGAAUUCCAGGUGUAGCGGUGAAAUGCGUAGAGAUCUGGAGGAAUACCGGUGGCGAAGGCGGCCNANNA
rnacentral:rRNA from 1 species